GCGGAUCUGUCCUUCCCGUGCCGGGGCCAAAUUCCAGUGGCCUUAAGCAAUUCCGAGGGAGCUGGCUCUGUCCGGACCCUGGUUCGGUUACCUGGCGCCCACCUGUAUAUACAGGUCCUCGGGAAUGAGUCGCCCUCACGGUUGCGCACGGUCCCCGC
rnacentral:sRNA from 1 species